AGAACGAACGUUGGCGGCGUGGAUUAGGCAUGCAAGUCGAAUGAAUCCCAUCUGGGUAACUGGGUGGGGGAAAUGGCGAAAGGGGCAGUAAGGCAUGGGCAACCUACCCCGGGGACGGGGAUAGCUCUUCUAACGAGGAGGUAAUACCUGGCGAUUCAGCGGGGAGGCAUCUUUCUGCUGGGAAACGAGUUUCGCCUCGGGAGGGGCUCAUGUAGUAUUAGCUAGUUGGUGAGGUAACGGCUCACCAAGGCAAAGAUGCUUAGCGGGUGUGAGAGCACGACCCGCGCCACUGGCACUGAGACACUGGCCAGACUCCUACGGGAGGCUGCAGUCGAGGAUCUUCGGCAAUGGGCGCAAGCCUGACCGAGCGACGCCGCGUGUGCGAAGAAGGCCUUCGGGUUGUAAGCACUGUCGAGGGAAGAAAGACCGUAAGGUUGAUCGACCCUGGAGGAAGCACGGGCUAAGUUCGUGCAGCAGCCGCGGU
rnacentral:rRNA from 1 species